AUGAUUAAUUCAAUGCGUUUUUCCUACCCGCCCGGCACCUGGCCUCAAAGAAUUCUCUUCUUCCAGAAGUUUAAGGAAGAAAACACGAGGUCAUCGAUUUACCUUCUCCACCAUACCAAAUAAAUAUGUACUUCCCAGCCUUUUUUUUACUCCUUCUCGCGCACUCGUUGAAAAGAUCGUGAUGGAAACAGGGCUGAGGGCCCCGAGCUUAUCCUAGGCUCUGCCCUUACUUAGCUGUAUUGCUUGGGUAGAAUUGCUCUGGGUUUCAGCAUCUCGGUCUGUGGCACAAGGGGUGAGGUAGGAUGAUAUCGAAGAUUCCUUCCAAACCUAAGAAUCUGACAUCCCCCUUGAAGUGAACUCUCCUCUCGACUGGGACAAAUACCUUAAUCAGGGAAACAUAGAAAUGCCUUAUUGACCGAAUAAAAUAUUUUGAGGCCUGUAAGUACAAUCCAGAUCAAAAUGGCUGAUGGCGCAUGUGUAUUUGUCUACCCUACCUCCCAAGUUCCUAUCGCGAUGUCGACAAAGACAUUUAAAGGAUGGAUAUGUCCAUUAGAAUGCUGGACACGAAUAGGAUGUCAUCAGCAGAAAUUUCAGGGAUUUGGAGAAACGUCUGGGAGCCAGGAAGCAGGCAGGACCAUAGCAGGGUAUCAGAGGAGAGGGGUACACAAGGCAAAACACGCAAGUGAAAAGAUGCGAUGGUGAUCCCCACCUACAGAGGCUCCAAGUUUGCGGCCAGCGGUGAAUGUUCUUUCUCCAAAUUAAACCAAAUUGGAAACUACAAAAGGAAAACUUUCGGAAAAUACCAUUUAACAGAAUUAACUUCAGUCAGCAGAUACGUUCUGGCAGCAGAAAUGUUGGAAAUGCAACAGACAAGUUGUGCGGAUCACGGUAGAAACCACAUCAACUUUGUAAAAGGAGGAUGUGUUUCUUUGGACCGAACGGUUUUUAUUUAUUGUGUGAUCACAUCCUGUUCUGGACUUUUAAGGUUUUAAGGAUAUUUAAUGUUAGAUGUGUUUUUUUAUUUAUUUUUAUUUUAUUUUAUUUUUUAAGUUUCUUUAUUUCUGAGAGAGAGAGAGAGAGAGAG